GAACUGGUGAAUAAGCAUUAAGAUAACAGCAGCAUCACGGAAUCCAGUUUUGGGGAGAAGAGAGAAGGCGUUAGAAUGAUUGAGUAGUUCAUCGCCGAAAGCCCAGUAGACGGCGGUGGCAGACGGAAUUGUUAGUGUAAAAACGUAGAGUGUAGCUAGUAAAUAUAUGUACUUGAAUUUUUGAGGCUUCCACAUAGCGUGCAUGAUUUCCACUGUAACAGCGUGUCCACCAAACGUAUACAGGAUGUUGGUUGCUCCGGUGAAGUAAAGCACUAGCUUUUUGGGACCAGUGUGCGUUACUCCUUCGACCUGGCCAUGAACAAGUGCUGCUAUGGCUAGGUACCAGGCAGUGUACGUGGUCAUACCAAGGCCAAGAAAAGCCCAAAUCCGGUAGUUGUGAAAAGAGGGUAUGAAAACUGUAGUAGCACAGCAAGCUCCAAAAAUGUAUGUCCAUGUCCUCUUGUCCAAAUGGUCG
rnacentral:misc_RNA from 1 species